rnacentral:rRNA from 1 species
CACGUAGGGGGCAAGCGUUGUCCGGAUUUAUUGGGCGUAAAGAGCGUGUAGGCGGCCAUUCAGGUCAGCUGUGAAAACUCGAGGCUCAACCUCGAGACGUCGGUUGAAACCGUUUGGCUAGAGUCCGGAAGAGGAGAGUGGAAUUCCCGGUGUAGCGGUGAAAUGCGCAGAUAUCGGGAAGAACACCCGUGGCGAAGGCGGCUCUCUGGGACGGUACUGACGCUGAGACGCGAAAGCGUGGGGAGCGAACAGG